AGUUUUGUGCAGUGGCAAUAUCAUAGCCAAUGAGGUUUAUCUGAGGAGUGAUUAUUGCUAAUUGAAAAUCUAUACCAUGUUUAGUUAAGAAUAUCUCUCCUACCCAGAGCUGUGAAAAUUAUAUGAUCUGCUUAUC